CACCCAAGUCACCUCACACCCCCUCAUCACCUCUGUUUCUCUCUCUCUGAUGAUUACCAACGGGGAUGAUGCCGGCCGGUUACUCUCUCCCUCAAGAAACCUCCGACCGGCCAGGUGUGUCGGAUCACGGAGGAGCUCCGGCGGUUUGCAUAAAUGAUAAAACCCCCAUUGUAUUCAUGCCAGAAAAACUUGUGGUAUUGAAUUAAAUAUCCCGAAAGGCCAAAACACAAUCAGGUGGUCCCUUUGAUUUUACAUUAGUUACCCUUUUAUUUAUGCCAUAAUUGGUGGUUGGUAUGAGCAUCAGUUACCAUUAGGGUUUAUUACAACAACAACAUCCACCGGCGGCACUUGAUUGUAGUUAAGAUUUAAGAGCAUAUGGCAUUGUUGAGUCCUGUUUCAUCAUCAUGUUUGCCAAGAUUGUGCUCUCAAUUAGUAGCACAUGAUGCAGUUGUAGAUACAAAGUCUAGGGUUUGCUUAUCAAGUGCAUCAUCUCACCUUCAACGCAGUUUGAUUCAUAAAUGUUAUUUGGAUAAAAGAGAGUCACAUGGUUUCAAAGUUUUGGCUUCGGCUUCGGUUACAGCAGAGGUGACAGAGGUGAUGAGGGGGGUGUGAGGUGACUUGGGUGUUUUAGGGUUUCUUCAAAGAAAAUUGCAGAGAAAAAGUGAUGGU